CUACCUCGCAACACAGUCAAAUAAUAUACGUCAUCCCAAAACUUUCAAUAAGAGAAUUACCGAUGUUUUUGUCAAUUUCGUGACUCAAACCAGGUACCAAAAGCAAACCUGACUUGAAAUUCUACCACAUUUCUAUUGUACCAUUUUGCCGUGGGUCCCCUCGCUUGUAAUGACGAUGGGUUUGGUGGCAGUAACACAAAUAUAACUAAACCACGUGUCGUGAAAACCAUGGGUGUAGUUGGAGGUGGUGGUUGGUAGAUGGAAACCAUACAUAAAUGGAAGUGGAAACACAAGUAGACAUUUGCUUUAUCUCUCUACCAGACCAGUUACUUGGGUUGCUAUCAACAACUCCAUUGCUAACUUUGUUAGAUUAUAACCCACAAGUUAACCAUUCAUUGAAAUGGCACAAGAAGUUGUAAAUACAGAUGAGGUAAAUCUUCUUAUGCAUUUAUAAUUGAAUGAAUCAACCGAGCGCAGUGGCAUUAUAGGAUUCAUAUAGCCGACCCCACUUAGUGAAUAAGGCUUUGCUGUUGUUGUUGUUGUUGUUUGUACUUGUGCUGAAAUUACUGCAUGUGAAUUACUUGAUGGGUGUUUGCGUGAGUGAUGUUUAAGGUUCUUGUUGGAGAAGAAAUAGAGCAUGUGAGGUUGAUCACUUUGAACAGGCGUCGUCAGUUGAAUGUCAUCUCAUCAAAAGUGGUAUGCUCAAUCGAUUUUGCGUCUAUUUGUUGUUUCGUUCGAGUUCUUGAUAUCAUUUCCUUUUCGUUCCUAAUUUAAUUGUUUUUACUUCAAUAGGUUUCUUUGUCCAACUCCUUCAUAUUGUUGUGCAUUCAAGGCUCGAUUUGCAAUUAAAGUCUUGGCAUCAAUUGGUGUUUUGUCAACCAAAGCACCACCUGUCGAAGCAUCUAGCAUUUAUCUUUCAAUUGAAAGGAGUCAUUCGCAGAAAUAUUGAAUUAGAAGCUCUUCUUUCAUUUGGUGUUGAGGGCAUGAUGCAACUGAAGUCUUGAAAUGCUCAUAAUAUGCUGGAAAGGAUUCUCCUUGGUUUUGUUGAA